rnacentral:lncRNA from 1 species
GUGGGCGGCAGGCCCAGGUUCCAGCUGCGUCCUGGCUGUGUGAUCUUAGUCGCACCUCCGGGCCUUUGCACUGGCUGUUCCCGCUGCCUGAACCGCCCUCCCCGGGUCACCCCAUGGCCGGUGCCUUCUCCCGACUCCAACUGGAACGUCCGCCCCUAGGAGCGACCCCCCCACCACGACCUCCCAGAGUCCCCAUCACCCCAUCACGCCGCCCUCCUUUAUCUCCAUCGAAAGGCUUCUGUUUCAAAACAGCUCUAUUUACUUAACCUACUUGGCCCUGCCGGCGGCUGGGUCCCCAGCCUUGAGGCUGGCCUGGUACACAGUGGAGCUCAAUACGUGUUGUUUGAUGGAUGAAUCCGUGUGUCCCCGCCCCUCCUCUCUCCUCCCACGGGAUUUUGGGUGUCUGUCUACACAGAGCUGCAGGGCAAACCGAACUACUCGCCAUCUCGGUGUCCCAAAGCAAAAAAGCCCGGAGGGGGGUUGCUGGGCGCCCCUUGACCCGGUAACCCCCGCCCUCUGCUGUCACCCGUGCUACCUCCAGGUUGCCUGUCGCUGGGAGCCAGGGUCCGGGAGAAUGUCAUCCUAACUUCUUUGAAAAUGAGAAGAAAAAAAAGGGGACCCCGCGAAGCAAAAAGGGCCGAGGACCCGGGAAAUGAGUAGUAGUGCGGCUCUGUUCGCCCCGUGUGGCCGCG